rnacentral:rRNA from 1 species
CGCGUAGGCGGUUAUUUAAGUCAGAGGUGAAAACUACCGGCUCAACCGGUAGCCUGCCUUUGAAACUGGAUAACUUGAGGGCAGGAGAGGGGAGUGGAAUUCCCAGUGUAGCGGUGAAAUGCGUAGAUAUUGGGAGGAACACCAGUGGCGAAGGCGGCUCUCUGGCCUGUUUCUGACGCUGAGGCGCGAAAGCGUGGGGAGCGAACG